GGCUAAUCUGCCCUUAGGACGCGAACAACCCCGGGAAACUGGGGCUAAUUCUCGAUAGGUGAAGAACUCUGGAAUGAGUCUUUGCCUAAAAGAGCUUACGUUAUGCUCAUAAGUUUCGCCUAAGGACGAGGCCGCGACCGAUCAGGUUGUUGGUGAGGUAAUGGCUCACCAAGCCUUUUACCGGUGCGGGCCGUGAGAGCGGGAGCCCGGAGAUGGGCACUGAGACAAGGGCCCAGGCCCUACGGGGCGCAGCAGUCGCGAAAACUUUGCAAUACACGAAAGUGUGACAGGGCUAUCCCGAGUGCCAUCCGCUGAGGAAGGCUUUUACCCAGUCUAGAACGCUGGGGGAAUAAGGAGAGGGCAAGUCUGGUGUCAGCCGCCGCGGUAAUACCAGCUCUCCGAGUGGUGUGGAUGUUUAUUGGGCCUAAAGCAUCCGUAGCUGGCUAAGUUAGUCCCUUGUUAAAUCCACCGAAUUAAUCGUUGGAUCGCGGGGGAUACUGCUUGGCUAGGGGACGAGAGAGGCAGACGGUAUUUUCGGGGUAGGGGUGAAAUCCUAUAAUCCCGGGAAGACCACCAGUGGCGAAGGCUGUCUGCUA
rnacentral:rRNA from 1 species